AUCUAGAAGCCAACGGUUAGGAUUCCUGGCUCUCACCCAGGCGGCCCGGGUUCGACUCCCGGCGCGGGGGA
rnacentral:tRNA from 1 species